rnacentral:misc_RNA from 1 species
UUUCCGUAGGAGAACCUGCGGAAGGAUCAUUAAUGAGUUGUCAUGGGGUUCGAUGCUGGCAGCCAGUUUUUGGAUGCAUGUGCUUGCCCUAGCAAUCAUCUUCUUCCAAACACCUGUGCACAUUUUUGAGGGAGUCUUGAGUUGGUUGCCGCUCUUGGGUGAUUUUCUCACAUUCCCUUAAAUCAUUAUACGCUAUUAACAAUGUUGAACGUGCUCUGUGCCGCAAGGCCAUUAAUAUAAUACAACUUUUAACAACGGAUCUCUUGGCUCUC